UACGAAGGGGGCUAGCGUUGUUCGGAAUUACUGGGCGUAAAGCGCGCGCAGGCGGUCUUCCAAGUCAGUGGUGAAAGCCCGGAGCUCAACUCCGGAAUUGCCAUUGAAACUGUAAGACUUGAGGAUGAGAGAGGUGAGUGGAAUUCCCAGUGUAGAGGUGAAAUUCGUAGAUAUUGGGAAGAACACCGGUGGCGAAGGCGGCUCACUGGCUCAUUUCUGACGCUCAGGCGCGACAGCGUGGGGAUCAAUCAGG
rnacentral:rRNA from 1 species